GGCUAACUCCGUGCCAGCAGCCGCGGUAAUACGGAGGGUGCAAGCGUUAUCCGGAAUCAUUGGGUUUAAAGGGUCCGCAGGCGGAUGUAUAAGUCAGUGGUGAAAUCCUGCAGCUUAACUGCAGAACUGCCAUUGAUACUGUACAUCUUGAAUUCGGUCGAAGUGGGCGGAAUGUGUAGUGUAGCGGUGAAAUGCAUAGAUAUUACACAGAACACCGAUAGCGAAGGCAGCUCACUAGGCCUGGAUUGACGCUCAGGGACGAAAGCGUGGGGAUCAAACAGGAUUAGAUACCCUGGUAGUCCACGCUGUAAACGAUGAUUACUCGUUUUCGGCGAUAUACAGUCGGAGACUAAGCGAAAGUGAUAAGUAAUCCACCUGGGGAGUACGAUCGCAAGGUUGAAACUCAAAUGAAUUGACGGGCACCCUUAUGGAU
rnacentral:rRNA from 1 species